rnacentral:rRNA from 1 species
ACGUAGGAGGCAAGCGUUAUUCGGAUUUACUGGGCGUAAAGCGCAUGUAGGCGGCUCGGAAAGUUGGAUGUGAAAGCUCCCGGCUUAACUGGGAGAGGUCGUUCAAUACUUUCGGGCUAGAGGAUGGGAGAGGGAGGUGGAAUUCCGGGUGUAGUGUGAAAUGCGUAGAUAUCCGGAGGAACACCAGUGGCGAAAGCGACCUCCUGGCCCAAACCUGACGCUCAGAUGCGAAAGCUAGGGUAGCAAACGG